CCUACGGGAGGCAGCAGUGAGGAAUAUUGGUCAAUGGGCUUACGCCUGAACCAGCCAAGUCGCGUGAGGGAAGACUGCCCUAUGGGUUGUAAACCUCUUUUGUCAGGGAGCAACUCCGGCUACGUGUAGCCUGACUGAUAGUACCUGAAGAAAAAGCAUCGGCUAACUCCGUGCCGGCAGCCGCGGUAAUACUGAUGAUGCGAGCGUUAUCCGGAUUGAGUGGGGUUAAAGGUUGCGUAGGCGGAAUGCCAAGUCAGCGGUAAAAUCGCGGGGCGCAACUUCGCUGCGCAGUUGAAACUGGUGUGCUUGAGUGGGCGAGAAGUAGGCGGAAUGCGUGGUGUAGCGGUGAAAUGCAUAGAUAUCACGAAGAACUCCGAUUGCGAAGGCAGCACACCGGAGCACAACUGACGCUGAAGCGCGAAAGCGUGGGUAGCGAACAGGAUUAGAUACCCUUGUAGUC
rnacentral:rRNA from 1 species